UAUCGUGUAUUCUAACUCGCUACCUCUUUCUUUGCAGGAGCUGUCAAUGUGACGGUCAAUGCUUCAGCUGAACAAUCCCAAACUCUGUGUGGCAAUGAGGUUGUGACUGUGCCGACAAGGGGACGCGUUGAUGUAGUCACUCAAAGUCUACUUGUCCUGCCUGAAGGAGUUGAGAGGACAAACACCCAGAAUUGGUUACUGUGUCCAAAGGGAAACGUUCUUUCUGAAGACGUGACUCUGACAUUUCCAACAAACAUGAUCCAGGGAUCAGCCAAAUGCUCUGUUUCUGUCCUUGGUAAAGGGGUUCAUUGAAGCAAACACUGAUAUUCACCAGAAUAACUUGGGCUUCUGAUGUAGGUUUUUGGCUUGACCACUUGUUUCUCUUCCCCUCAUAGGAGACUUAAUAGGUCGUGCACUAAAGAAUCUGGAUGGGUUAUUGCGGAUGCCGUAUGGCUGUGGAGAACAGAAUAUGGGUGUUCUUGCUCCCAAUAUUUACAUUCUGCAGUACCUGGAAGUAACGGCGCAGCUCACUGCAGCCAUCUGAGAGACCGCCAUAGGCUACCUUCAGAGAGGUGUGUAUGACAAUCAAUUUACUCAUGCUUUUUACUUCAGAGUUGGACUACUGUAAUACUCUAUACAUGGGUUUGCCUAAUUCACCUGACAAUUGACUGACCUGACAAAUGACCAGGCUACUGACUGGCACUAAAAUCCAUCAACACAUUAC